UGGGGAAUAUUGCACAAUGGGCGAAAGCCUGAUGCAGCAACGCCGCGUGAGCGAUGAAGGCCUUUGGGUCGUAAAGCUUUGUCCUCGGGGAAGAAAAAAAUGACGGUACCCUUGGAGGAAGCCCCGGCUAACUACGUGCCAGCAGCCGCGGUAAUACGUAGGAUGCAAGCGUUAUCCGGAAUUAUUGGGAUUAAAGGGUGCGUAGGCGGACUAAUAAGUCAGUGGUGAAAGCCUGCAGCUUAACUGCAGAAUUGCCAUUGAUACUGUUAGUCUUGAGUACAGUUGAGGUAGGCGGAAUGUGUCAUGUAGCGGUGAAAUGCUUAGAUAUGACACAGAACACCGAUUGCGAAGGCAGCUUGCUAAGCUGUAACUGACGCUGAGGCACGAAAGCGUGGGGAGCAAACA
rnacentral:rRNA from 1 species